CGCGGUCCCGCUUCCGGGAACCGCCCGGACGAGACGCGCCGUACCCGGCCUGCAAAGACGACGCUCC
rnacentral:ncRNA from 1 species